CCUUCCAAACCUUGAAGUUGGCAAAAACUUCAGAUUUCUGCUUUAAGAAGUACACCCAAACCUUCCUGGAGAAGUCAUCAAUGAAGAUAACGAAGUACCUAGACCCUCCCAAUGAUAGUUCCCGAGUUGCACCCUACACAUCAGAAUGGACAUAGUCUAAAAGACCUUUUGUCGUGUGUUGUCCUAUCUUGAACGAAACUUUGGACUGCUUUCCCAUCACACAGAACUUGCAGAAAUCCACUUGCAAUUCUUUAACCAUCCAAAAGACCCCUUUUAUGGAGUUCAAGCAACCCAUGCUCUCCUAUAUGCCCCAAGCGCAUAUGCCAAAGAGCCGUGCUAUCAGAUCCAGACACAGCAGCUGCAGCUCCACCUACAACCACGCUCCCUAACAUCCUGUAAACGUUCCUAGUUAUCAUCUUUCCUUUAAUCACUACCAUAGAUCCCUUACAGACCUUCAAAACGUCUUCAUCUUCAUCACCUCUGAGUCUGAAUCCGUUUUUGUGAAGAGUACCCAACGAGACCAAAUUCUUCUUAACCCCUGGAACAUGCCUAACAUCAGUCAAUGUUCUGAUGAUGCCAUCAUGCAUGAGAAACUUGACCUCUCCAGAACCAACGACACCACAUAACAUGCCAUUUGCUACUGGAACAGAUCCCAUGUUUCCAGCCCUAUACGUCUAAAACCAUUCUCUGUGAUGAGUCAUAUGGAAUGAUGCACCUGUAUCCAGUAUCCAAGAGUCUGUGUGAUCACCAGAUGUCACAGCCAACAAAUCGCCUACACUAUCAUCUGAAUCCUUAUUCUGAACCAUGUUUCUAGAACCAGAUCCACCGUUCUUUUUUCUGUUAGGACAAUCCCUUUGAUAAUGACUUUUCUGACCUCAACCAAAUCACAUCGAAUUCUUUCCUGGCUUAGACUUUGACUUGUCCCUUUUACUUCCAUCCUGCUUCUUUUAUUGCCUUCCUCGUUGCUGGUUGCUACUCACGUAAAAACCAUCACCUUGAGACUUGUCUGCCACAGUUUUUUUCUGUCGUCUUUCCCAAUGGGAUUGCAGCGAAGUACAAACCGUCUCAAGCGAUAUAGUUGUUUUUUCGACUGUAAUAGCUGUCACCAAAUUCUCGAACUGAGGAGGAAGAGAACACAUUAAGAUCAUGGCUUUAUCCUUGUCCUCAAUUUUAACAUACACACGCUCCAGAUCUCCAAUGAUUUGGUUGAAGUUGUUGACAUGACCAAUAAGAUCGCCUGACUCUGCCAUCUUCAACUCAUACAACAUCUGUUUCAGAUACAGCUUGCUGGAUAACGAUUUUGACAUGUACAUCUUCUAAAACUUAUCCCACAUCUCCUUGCAAGUGAUGAUGUUCAUCACCUGAUUGGUUAGUAUCAUCAGAGAGACAAAGUCGAAUCGUCGAAACAGCUUGAUCCUGCAUAUCGUCCCAAUCAUCCUUCUCGAUCUUAUCUGGCUUCUUCUCUAACAGCGCCUUCUUCAUUUCCCAUCGAACCUAUGAACAUCAAACUUAAGAUAACUUCCCUUCGUCAUGAAAAUGUUACGCGGAAAAACCUAGAGUUCUGAUACCACUUAUUGUGAAUUAAGCUAAAGAAAGCAAUAAUCUAAGAGAGCAAAAUCGCAAAUUGAGGCAAACACCAAUUUAGAAUUUUCUUAUUAUUUGUGUAAAUGAAUAAUUACAAAUCCUAAGCCUUGUAUUCAUAGCUCCAAAAAACCGACUCCCAAAUCCACAAGAUAAAGAAAAACCUAAAUCUAGCCCAAUAAGGAAACUUUUGGCCCGUUAAAUUCCUCAGCUCACUCUAGCAGGGCCUCUUUAUUUAUCUUUGUCACUUUAAACAACAGACACUCUUCAGUUUACUCUUCAAUUAAUUAAUUCUCGGAGUGGUCUGAGUUAUGCAAAUGCGGUUAAUACUUUGCCAUUUUGCUCCAACAGAGCAGGUCAACCACAUGAUUAUAGACAAAGAUAGUGAUGUGAUCACCUAUGAGAGCGAUCUUAGCUAUGAACUACUGUAUUUAGGGGUUGGUAACAGAGAUUUGUAACAACUUUAACUUACUUUAUGUAGAAGUAAAUGAUUAAAAUUAAAUGCAUAAUCAUCAAUUUUUCAACACUCCCCUUUGAUUAUCCAUUUUGAUGUAUUGCAUCAGUGGGGGAUCCAAGUUUAAAGUUAAGGGGAUUCAUAAUAUAUAAUCCAACAUAAAAAUAAUUGAAAAAUAACCAUGUAUCUGGGAUUGAACUCUUGUGAGGGAUGUCCAACCAUGACUUAAUAAACCAAAUAAUCUAUAGAAUCUUUAAUUACAUAUAACAAAACUACUAACAUAUAAAUUUACCUUGUGUCAUGUGACCUUCGAUCACUUAACAUAGGCCCACCUCUGAUUGCAUGCUGUCUCGUUAAAAAUUUUAUCAUGAAAAAACUCAAUAGGAUAAAAACCAUGAAAAUGAGAAAAAAGUACAUCAGUGCAAUUCUCCUUGAAAGUGAUGAAUAUAAUUUUCUUUCAUAAAUCUUAUAGUCGACGCAUUCCCAUAUUUUUCUGAAUGAUGUAGUAGGAAGCGCAUUUGUAAGAAGAUCUGCUCCAUUGUCACUUGAGCGAAUAUACUGAAUAUUCAAUUCCUGAUUUUUCUCUAGUGCUUGAGUGUAGGAGAAAAAGUUUGGAGUAGUAUGUUUUGUUCUAUCACUCUUGAUAUAGUGUUCUUUGAGUUGGGCGACACAUACAACAUUAUCUUCAAACACUCUUGUUAGUUCCUUAUCAGUGACUAUCCCACUUUCAUCUUGUAAAUGAUGUGUCAUAGAGUGGAGUCAUAUGCAUUCUCUACAUGCUUCAUUGAGAGUAAUAAUUUCUGCAUAAUUCAAAGAAGUGGCUACCAAAGUCUGUUUUUGGAAACACCACGAGAUCGCUGUUCCAACAACUGAGAAAACAUAUUCGGUUUUCGAUCUAGUUUUAUGCGGAUCUGGAAAAUAUCCUGCAUCUGAAAAACCAACUAGACCACCUUUAGAAUUUAUAUUAUAAAAUAAUCUCAAGUCAAUUGAACCUUGGAGAUAAUGCAAUAUUGGAAAAAUCACAUUUUUAACCUUCAAAGUAUAAGUUACUAACAUUUUAAACCUUGAGAGAAUUACACUCUCACUUUAAACCAUGAAAUAAAAUAAACUUUCACUUAUAACCGUCAAAUUAGCAUUUAUGUUUGCGACUUCAAAAAAAUAACCGGUACUGUUCUUCUCCGGUAAAUUUGUAGUGACAUGUCUAUAAACCAUUUUAAUAUUAAUUCAUUCUUUUAUUUUAAUAUUUAAUUAAUAAAAGAAAACAAAACAAAAAAACAUAUCUCCACCACCGUUUUCUUCUUUCUACGAUGAAAAACACUACAGAGGUUUGUGUCGGGUCCCACAUCGGAUUUAGACCAAUAUGAUAUAGUAUAAAAAUAAUCUUUAACUUCAAUUAGUAUGAGGCCUUUUGGGAAGAACCCCAAAAUCAAAUCAGUGCGGGCUUUGCCAGUUGGGCCCAAAACAAACAAUAUCAUACUAAUUAGGGAGUUGGAUAUGGGCUUAGAAAAGCUUAAUAAAUGGUAUCAGAGCCUAGGUUCUGAAAAAGGUGGACUUGGACAAGUGGGUGUGGGCUGUGUAUUCGGUGUGGGAGAGAGAGAGAGAGCCCUCAAGGUGACCUUGUGAUUGGGGUGUUGGUGCCUUGUAUCAAAAAUCUUUCUAACGGUUGCACAAGGGUUAGAAGAAGAGUUUCGUUGGUGUGUACGGCGGUACAUGAUAGGUGCCAAGUUUCACAGAAAGUUGGGGGAGGCCACAUGUUUGUGUGGUUCUUGGCUUGAGGGAGGGAUUGUUGGGAUAACAAUCCAAGUCCCACAUUGGAAGUUUAGACCAAGAUAGUAUAGUAUAUAAGUCAUGUCCAAAAUAUUAUGAGGCAUUUUGGGAAGGAACCCAAAAAAAAUCUGUGCGGACUUUGCCACUUGGACCCAAAGCGGAUAAUAUCAUACUAAUAGGGAGUUGGACAUGGGCUUAAAAAGUCCAACAAUUGGUAUCAGAGCGAUAUUCUGGAAAAAGUGGACCUGGAAAAGUGGGUGUGGCCUGUGUGUUCAGUGUGGGAGUGAGAGCCCUCAAGGUGACCUUGCGAUUGGGGUACCGAUGCCUUGUGUCAAAAGUAUUCCUAAGGGUGCGCGAAGGGUUAUGUUGGGCGAAAUAAGAUGGGUGCCGAGUUUCGCAGAAGGUUGGAGGAGACCACAUGUUUGUGUGGUUCUUGGUUUGAGGAAGAGAUCGUUGAGAUAUCAAUCCAAGUCCCACAACGGAAGAUUAGACAAAGAGUGUCUAGUAUAUAAGCAAGAUGUCCAACAGUUUAGUAUGAGGCCUUUUGGGAAGGAACCCAAAAAAAAAUCUGUGCGGCUUUUUCCACUUAGGCCCAAAGCGGAUAAUAUCAUACUAAUAAGGAGUUGGGCAUGAGCUUUAAAAGCCCAAAAAUUGGUAUCAAAACUAGGUUCUGAAAAAGGUGGACCUGGACAAGUGGGUGUGGGCUGUGUAGUUGGUGUGGGAGAGAGAGAAAGCCCUCAAGGUGACCUUAUGAUUGGAGUGCUGGUGCCUUGUAUCGAAAGUCUUUCUAACGAUUGCGCAAGGUUUAGGAGAAUAGUUCUGUUGGUGUGUACGGCGGUACAAGAUAGGUGCCAGUUUUUGUAGAAGGUUGGGGGAGGCCACAUGUUUGUGUGAUUCUUGGCUUGAGGGAGGGAUUGUUGGGAUAUCAAUUCAAGUCCCACAUCGGAAGUUUAGACCAAGAUAGUCUAGUAUAUACCAAAAUUAUAUAAAGCCUUUUGGGAAGGAACCCAAAAUUGAAUCCGUGCGGGCUUUGCCACUUGAGCCCAAAGCGGACAAUAUCAUACUAAUUGAGGAGUUGGAUAUGGGCUUAGAAAAGCCCAAUAAAUGGUAGCAGAUAUAAGUUCUGAAAAAGGUGGACCUAGACAAGUGGGUGUGGACUGUGUAUUUGGUGUGGGAGAGAGAGAGCCCUCAAGGUGACCUUGUGAUUGGGGUGCUGGUGCCUUGUAUCGAAAGUAUUUCUAACGUUUGCGCAAGGGUUAGGACAAGAGUUAUGUUGGUGUGUACGGCGGUACAAGAUAGGUGCCAAGUUUCAUAGAAGGUUGGGGGAGGCCACAUGUUUGUGUGGUUCUUGGCUUGAGGGAUGGAUUGUUGAAAUAUCAAUCCAAGUUCCACAUCAGAAGUUUAGACCAAGAUACUCUAGUAUAUAAGUAAUAUCCAACUCCAAUUAGUAUGAGGCCUUUUGGAAAGGAGCCCAAUAUUAAAUCCGUGUAGACUUUGCCACUUGAGCCCAAAGCGGAUAAUAUCAUACUAAUUGAAUAGUUGGAUAUGAGUUUAAAAAAGCCCAAUAAAUAAUCUUUGUUCCCAUAAAAAAAAAAAGAUUCCCAUGACAUAUCUCCACUACCUUCUUCUCUUCUUUCGAUUCUUGAUGUAUCAUUGUUGAUGUAUCAUUUACUCAAUAAAUAUUCACUUAAGCGAUUAUAUACCACAUACGCCUAGACUGCUCUAAUCCGUAAAGUGAUCGUUGUAGUUUGACCAAAUAUAUUUUCUUAGAUGCUUCAGGCAUCUUUGUUUCUUCAUGAAUCUUUAAUCCCUCCAGGAUUUUCAUAUAUAUAUCAUGACUAUCAAGUAAUCCAUAUAAAUAUGCAGUUACAACAUCCAUAGGUACAUAUAAAGAUUUCUAGAUGCCAUUACGCUCAUCAAGUACAUGAAUGUGAUUGCAUCCAUGAUCGGAGAAUAUGUUUUUUCAUAAUCUAUUCCAGUCUUUGAGAAAAAUCUUGUGCCACAAGUCUGGCUUUAUAUCUUGUGACUUCGUUUCUCUCAUUUCUCUUUCUCACAAAGACUCAUUUGGACCCAACUGGCAUUACAUCUUCAGAUGUAAUGACAAAUGAUCCAAAGAGACUUCUUUAUUCAAGGAGAAUAAUUCAUUUCUCAUGGCCAUUUACCAUUUCUCCAAGUCAUUCCUUUCUGGCACUAUGACCCAGAUUUUGGGUCUGGAUCAUCAUUUUUGUUAUUAAUUUCUUCAUAUACUGAAAAAAAAGAAUAUUAUAUUUGUAUCAUCUAUCUUACUUUUAGUCCAUAAUGUCCCGAUUUGGGCGAAGCUGAUGAAAAUCUCAUAUUUGUCAGUAAUAUGUCUAUCUUCUAGAUGAACUUCUUUAUCUGGUUCUUCUGGAACCUAUUCAAAUAUGUCUUGAGAACAGUUUUCUUUAUUUGGUUUUUGUGGAACCUUGUCACAAAUGUCUUCAAGAGAUUUUUUAUUAUUCGGUUCUUCUGGAACUUUGUCUCCAAAUUUUCUUUUCUUUCGGAGAUUUUUUUCUUUAGAGCCCAUCGGCCUCCCGUACUUUUAAUUGAACCUGCAGUUAUUCUGGAAUAUUCAUUUUUGAUGGAGCAUUAGCAGUAGGGAUAUAUGACUUUGUCACCCUUUUGUAUAUGUAAACACAUCAAGUAACUGGUUUGCCAAAUUUUGCAAAUAUAUAAUUUUCUGAACUUCCACCUCGAUUUGAUUGGUAGGAGGAUCAAGAUAAGCCAAAUUUUGUGUACACCAUGUGAUAUCUUUUGGUUAUUCUCUAGAUCCUCCUCCUAAGGCAGAUAAUUCACUUUCUCAAAAUGGCAAUCGGAAAAAUGUGCUGUAAACAUAUCUCCAAUUACCAAUCCAAGAUCUAAUUAUACUUGGAGACAUGUAGCCUAUAUAUAUUCUCAAUCUCUUUUGCGUCCCUCUUUUUGUUCAUUUCAGAAGGGCUAUCAGGACAUAAACCGCACAUCCAAACACACAGAGAUGGGAUAUAUUUGGCUCUUUGCCAUAUAUUAACUAUAUCGGAGAAUACUCAUUAUUUUCACUUGACAUCAUCUGGACCAAUGCCCCAGCAUGCAGUAGCAUGUUCCCAUACAGUAAUUGGAAGCUUUGUUCUCAAUAUUAAUGGUUGUGCAAUCAACUGCAACCGUUUAAUCAUAUACUCAGAGAUGCCAUUUCUGUAUGAACAUGCAGAAUCAGAUGCUCAACAUCGAUUCCUAGUGACAUACAAUAGUCAUUAAAAGCCGCUGAAGUGAAUUCACCAGCGAUAUCAAAGCUGGCUUUCUUUAUGGCAUAAUUAGGGAAUUGGGCUCUCAACUUGAUUAUUUGAACAAUGAAUUUUGUGAAAGCUAUAUUUCUCACACACAUGUGACCGUCUGCUAGAUGCAUCGAUUAAUACCAUAAAAUAUCUAAAUGACCUGCAUGAUGGAUGAAAUGGCCAACAUAUAACACCAUGUAUUCUCUCUAAGAAUACAAGGGAUUCAUUCCUAACUUUGGCUGGCGUGGGCCUGUUUAUGAAUUUUCCUUGAGAAUGUGCCCUACAUGAAAAUUUUCCCAGUUGAAAAAUCUUCUGAAAAAUCUUCUAAUUUUUCAAUGGGUGGCCACUCGAUUUUGCACAAUCCUUCUCAUCAUAACUGAUCCAAGGUGGCCAAUUCUUUCAUGCCACACUCUACAUAUAGUAGUAAACUCCGGGUUUAUAUAACAUAUGAUUCAGUCAUAUUUAUUUUUGUGCUAUAUAAUCCAGAGGACAUCGUUGAUAAUUCUUCCAAUAUAUUUUUUCUCUUAGAUGUAAUGCAAAGAUAUUUAAUGCCAUUCUUAUUCAUAUUUGCUAUAUGAUACCUAUUUCUUCGGAUAUCUUUGAAAUUUAGCAAGUUUCUGCAUAAUUUAGGGAAAUAUAAUGCAUUACUUCUUUCAAACUUUGUCCCCUUUGACAUUGAAAAACUGGCUCGUCCUGAGCCUAUUGUAAUAUUUUCAUUACCAGAUAUAGUACUCACGCUUCCUGCAGAGUCCUUUAUUUUGAGACAGGAGAAUUAAUUUUUAUCUUUAUAUAUGGGUGUAUUCUUUCGUCUGGUAUUGUUGCUGCAAGAUUACCUUUCCACGAUGAAAUAUUUGGAGAGUUUUUUUAUCAUAUUGAAAUCGCUUACUUCAUCUCCACAUAAAAUUAUCCUAGAAGUAAUUACGAACAUCAAAAAAUUAUAUUUACCAACACUUUUGUAAUCUUGGAAUUGGAGGUUCAACCACUCAUGCUUGACUUUCGGUAAGUUCACAUAUUUUUGGUGAUCAAACAUGUCUUUAAAUGACUGCCAAAUUUCUGCAGGAUAUUCUUUCGUGUGUAUUCUUCUUUUAAAAUAUUAUCGAUGUGGUAGAGCAAAAAAAUAUCAUGACUUUCGCCUUUUUCUCAUCUGAUGUCGUCAACUACUUAUAGAUAGUAUCGAAAGCUCGUUUUCUCUUUAUAUGCAUUUUUGCACCUACUGCCAAUGACAUGUAAUUUUUUCUAGACAUAUCAAAGAUAGGGAUUUCAAAUUUUGCCAAAUUUGACACGAUAACUGUAUGCAUAUCAUAAAUUUAGCAAAAAAAUCAAUUAAAUUUUUUAUUUCAAAAAACAUGAUAAAAACUUUUAAAUACACAUAUAUAAUGAAAAUAUAAAUUUAAAGCAAUAUAGAAGGUUAGGCAAAACUUUCUAUAUAAUUGAAGAGUCAGAGUUUACCAUAGUUUUGAACAGAAGGCAUAACUUUCUACUCCACAAAUAUAAAAUCAAGAAAGAGAUUUAACAUUCCACUCCAAUUAUAUGAUAUGAAGAGACAUAGUUUACAUAUGAUCAUAUGUCGUGAAGUUAUAUCCUACUAUAAUUAUCAAUCCGGGAAUGUAGAGCCUAUCAUCCUGGAAUAAUACAUAAACUUUUAAAUAAAUUGAACAUGAAUUUAAGCUUUCAUUUUCGGUAUAGAAACGGAUCAAGAAACGAUCAUGCUGAUAAUAUGUUAUAAACUAUAGCUGAUAUAUGUAUACGAGGUGAGAUCUGUGUUUUGUAUAUAUAUAUAUAUAUAUUGUGUGUGUAUGAGGGUGUAAGAGACGAGAGAGGAGGAACAGAAGAAUUUAUUUCUCUUAUUCACUUCUUCUAUGAUCCUUAUAAUAACUUUUACCUGCGUAUUUAUACUAGGAGAUGGUAACAAGGGUUGGUAAAAACAACUUUAAUUUACUAUGUAGAAGUAAAUAAUUAAAAAUUGGAUGGAUAAUCAUCCAUUUUUCAACACACGUUACUAUUAAGAGUAGUUGCAUACUGUAAUGCUAAAUACGACUGUAUUUGCAAAACUAACCAAACACUAUUAUGAUCACUGUUCAAUUUUUCAUAAUCUCAAAUUAUCCUCCGUUAUGUUUCUUCUUCUUUCUUCCUUAUUAUUUUCCUUCAUCUUUCUCUCUUCUCACAAUUUUCUAAUUCUCCAAUCUCUUACACUCACAUGAACCAAAAAUUAAAAAUCGACAUUAUAUAUUUUGGAGAGAUGAACACCCAAAAUCUGGGUGUGGGCAUGAUGAUGGAAAAAAAAGGUGGAGGCACAAAUUUGGGUGAAUAAUUACAGUGGUGUAUACAAUAAUAACACAACUCAACGAGUUUCUCUACAAUAUUUUUUCCGGCGGUGGUUUCUUGAGCAAAUGUGAGUCUGAUUCUUCUUAUGAUGUCGAAGGACAUGGACCUCAUUAUUUGAGUACCACCGCUGGAUUGCUGUGAGAAAUGUGAGUUUCCUCGGUUACGCUGCCGGUACAACAACAUUGUAUGGCGAUUUUUGCUCGUGUAGUUACAAAGGUUUGUUGAAGUACGAGAUCUUGCGGAUCGAGAUAUCCUCGAAGGUGUUGAUUUGCUUUCUCUCUCCCGUGGCGAAUAUGCUUUAUUUUCACGCAGAUAGAUUCAUAUGAUAGUGAACACUUAAUAAGUUAAUUACCUUCUUAAAUAAAAAAUUACACAUAUAUCUAAAUGUUUGUUUGAUCCAACAUAUAUUUUUACAUGUUAAAAGUAUAUAUAAUUCUAUAUAUAUAUAUAUAUAUAUAUAUGUAUAAUUUAGUAAAGAACAUGAAAAUUAACAUACAACAACUGAGUUAUCGAGAUAAACAAAAUGGUAUAGGUACACAUAAAUGUUUGAAAAUGACGUGGUAUAACAACAACUUAUCUUUGCCUGAAGUAUAAAACCAUGAAAGCUAACAUACAACAAUUGAGUUACCUUGUUAAAUAUAAAGUUAGCGAUACAUUUUAAUAUUUACUUUGUAUAAUAAAUAUUUUAACAUUGUGUAAAACUAUUGUUAUCAAUCUAACAUAUUUUAUAUCGAGUUAAAUAUUGAGUUAGAUGUAAAUAUAAUAGUUGAACAUAAUACAAUAAUUUUAUCAAGCUACAAAAAUGUAUACCAAGUUACCUAAAACGUGUAAUUCUUCAUAGUUAUAACAACCGUGGUCGAUGUUGGCACUGUCACCGUCACCAGAAUUAGAACUGUGGCUAUAUGGAUAUUGUUAGAUUCCCAUCAGUGAAGAGAAGAGGUUUUGUGUACAAAAUUUUAUCAGAUUCAUCUCUGUUUUUAAAUUAAAUUCAUAUGUGUGUUCAAUAGAAAAAAGAAUAAGAAGAGAAAUAAAAGUUGUAUGAAAGAGAAAGAGAUAAAGUCGAACACGGAGAAAAGAAAGAAGUUUUCAAGAGGUUGGAGGUAAUUUCCCCUGCCCUUUCAGCUACUCUUCUCCACAUAUGAUGGGGUCAUAGUUAAGUUUGCAAAUAUGUUGUCCUUCAUGAAUAUUAUGCUUAAUUACUCUACUAUUAAUCAAUUAUCUAUCCUUUAUACAAUGUUUUUUUUUUACUUUUUCUUUUUCCAUUAUGCUUCACGCAUCAAUGUAAUCUGGAUAAUCAAGGAACAAAGUUUGAGUUGAGAGACCAAAUCUCUAAGAACAAAUAUGGAUGAUUAUAUGGUAAAUGAAAAUAUGGAUAAUUAUUGAAAUCCAGCUUGAUUCUCCUCAUUUGAUGAAAAUUUAUCUUAGAAACCUACUAAAAAUAUGGAUAAUUAGUUGUCUAAAGCAUAUCCAUAUAAGGAAUAAGACUUGACUGUAAAAGCUUUAAAUUAAACAAUAAUUGAUCGUUGACUACUAGUUACAACCUGUUCCUGUAAAAUAGGAACAAGGAACGAGACGUUUCAAGCAGUGGCGGAGCCAGAACAUUUUUCUAUUGGGGGCAAAACGUAUUUAAUGGGAACAUAUAUGCUAUUUAGUGUGGGGGCAACUAGUAUUAUUGUUACAAAUUUACACUAAAUAUUUUUUUUUAUUGGGGGCAACUGCCCCCAACUCAUUGUAUAUACCUCCGCCACUGGUUUCAAGUAAACAUUAUUGUUCAAUCCGAGACUGAGAUUCAUCAUCAUCAUCAAUAGCAGAUUUAGAAUUUUUUUUAUCGGGGACACUUUCAAUAAAAGUAUAUUUUUUAAUAAUAGAAAACAUUUUUUCUUUAAACCCAUUAAAAUAACAUACUAAAUAAGAUUUAUUUAAGCUUUAUUCAAUAAAAGAAUGAAAAAUAGUAGGAGGCACGUGACUCCAUAACGUCACACAUGCGUCCGCACCUGAUCAUUAUCGAAAUAAUCAGGAACAAGAUCCAACCGAACCUCCAAAGCACAUCUAGGAGAAUACUUGUCUCUAAUAUAAUAAGUAUCGAUAAGUUUCUACAUAUAAACUAAAAGUUGUAGUGGAGUAGUUCUCUUCCAGUAGAAAAUUUGUCUGUGUGGGUUUAGACCAGAGGUCAAGUCUCCCUAAAUACGAAAUUAUCAUAUUAACUUUUGACCACCCAACCAUUUAAGCUGCGACUUAAACUUACAUAAAAAUGAUGUUAGGCUUAAGGAGGAUUAGUCUGAAUCCGAAGGCAUGAUAUGCAGGUUUAAAAUUAACUAUUUUAUAACUCUUAAAACUAAAAAUGAAAAACAAAAUUAUUUAAACACAAAAUAAUGUUAUUACAGUGAUUAAAACAAAAUUAUUCUACAUGACUACACUAAUGUAAUAAUUAUUUUAUGCAUUAACCUAACAUGAAGGAAAAAAUUAAUUACCUCUAGUUUAUGAACUAAAAAGAUUAGCAAUUUUUUUUAUUAUAAAUUUGUAAUCUAUUAUUUAAUUUCAUAUUCUUUAGAAAAAAUAUAUUCUUUGAAAAUUUCAUAUUCUUCAGGUCUAUUAUGAGUAAUUUGAAUAUAUAAUAUGUUUUGUUUGGAAAACUUAUAAUUUGGUAUAAUAUUUAUAAAUAGUAUAUCAAAUCUAAUUAAAAGUGUAACAAAAUAAUCAAAUGUUAUUUAAUAAUCAUAAUGUUGAAACAAAGAUUAAAAAUUAUACAUCAGUUCUUCAAAUAAAAAAAAAUAUUAUUUUUUAUUAUUUUAGUUUCAUCUUCGUUAUAUAUUUUCUAUAAAAAAAUAAUAAAUAAAAAUUAUUUUAUUUUCGUAGCUAAUUUAACCAAUACAAAUUUCUAAAUUCAUAUAUUACAUUGAAAAAAAAAUAAGAAUUACAAUUCUUGCUUUCAGAUUUAUGACACCUUUUGUCUUGUAUUAUAUUAUUUAUGUUAAUUUUUAAAUGACUUUAAAUGAUUUUAAAUGAUUAUACUUCACUUCUUCCAAUCAAAGUGAAUAAGUUUUUUCCAUUUUAUUUAAUUUUAUUCUCAUUAUAUAUGUUUUCUAUGGAAUACAGAAAAAAAGAUAGUUGAAAUUUAAGCUACUUUAAUCAAUACAAAUUUUCUGUUUAAUUUACAUAUGAAAAAGCAAACAAAUAGGCACAAAUGUUACUCUCGUAUCGAAUUUCAUUCCUCUCUUUUUUUUUCUACAAAGAGUAAACUUAUUUUUAAAUUUUAAUGUUGAUGUGGACCAAUAAAAUUACUUUAUUAAAUUUAUGUGGACACCCUUAAAAGUAUAUACCUUUAACUUUUAUUAGUAUUAUCUAUACUAUUAUUUGCGAGGUCAAAAAUCUUAUGUGUCAUCACCAUAGAGAUUUUCCUAUGUGACAUUAAAAAAUAUAUAUUAUGUGUCUUUUUAAUUUGUUUUGAUAGGUCUAUUAUGAAUUCUACGUGUACAAACCCAUAACAUGAAUUUUCCUUUGAUAAUGGACCAGCGAGUUUGUUCAUGGGCCAGUGAUUUUUUUCUCGGUCAUAGCUAUCAAUUUUGGUAAUAGAACACCGACAUCGAAAUCCUAAACCUUAAAUCAUCUAUCCUACUAUAUAUACCUGUAUCGCCUACAUAUUUUUUUACAUACAACAACCGUCUUCUAAGGUCUAGCAACUUUUAGAAAACUCGUCAACCUCUUUUUCAUGAAUACAUCUUUUGUAUAUCCCGACCUGGUUUAAAUUAUAUUGUUUGUUAGUUGUUCUUCCAUGCUAACCAUUUCAUCGUUUUGUUCCGAUCGGGAUUCUUCUAUGCUAACUGGUCCAAUAUCUAUGCUUUUUCUCUAUCGUGUUCUAUAUUACUAUGCAUCACAACUAUCUUAUUUUUAAUCCCUGUUUUACUCUCUAUGAGAUUGGUCAUCGAGAUAUCAUAUCUGUGUUUUUUUUUUUUUGCUUUGCAAUUCUAUAUAUAAAAUUCGUUGCUCCGUAUUUGAUAUUCAUGUUCCUCUUUAUUAAGUUUUCUAUAUGGAUAUAUUUGAGUUAUUGUUCGUAAAUAUAGAUUGACCUGGGCUUCUUUAUUUUUUUCCUUGAACCUAGAGUUCAUCCUGCACACUACAGGUGAUUGGUUCGAACUUUUGCAAUCAUAUCUUCAAAUGGAUCUAAUAGGUAAUUACAAAUAAAUCAUUUGUACUUCUUUUUUUGGGUCAACAAAUCAUUUGAACUUCUAAUUUGCUUAAUUGAUAUUUGUAAACUCUCUAAUUUAUUAUUUUGAUCUUCUUAGAUGGAUCAAAACCAUAGAAAGAAGUUUUUUUGUGUAUAAUUCAUGUUUUAGUUUAGGUUUGUAUUAAUUUUUUCUGGCAACAUAUUUGUGAGUGGGUGUUAAUUUCUUGUUUGACUGUUGUUUGUUUCUUUUUGGGCUCUACUAUAAAUUUUUUUUAUAUUGCUGUUUAUGUUUAUUUUUAUUUCUAAAUAUAAUUUUACGGUUCAUUUUUGUGGUAACUUGUGUGGACAUGGAUUUUUAAGCAAAAAAAAAGUAACCAGUUCCGAUUAGUUUUGGUUCCAUAAUUUACUAAAGAUAUGUAACAUGAACAAAACAAUCCUAUUGAGAAUAGAGUGCAAACCAAUUGCAAAUAGCACCAUCCAAUUGAUGUUGAAUUACAUUAUGGUUAAUCCCUGACCCACUUCUUAGUUUGUUAAUGAACUCAUUGAUUUUUUAUCCCUAAUGAGAGAUAAAACCAGCUGAAGGAAGGAGAGUCACCAAUACAGAGGAAGAAGAAUGUUUGCUAGAGAAAUAUUCGGGUCAUAAUUUUCAUCAUCUUUUUAAUUUGUUUCAGCUUGCUGGAACUAUAUUUUUAGUUUUUCAGGCUUCAUCGGAGUACCAAAUAAAUUGAUGAUUCUCUAACACCAGAAUCUAAGAAACAUAGAUUACUGAAAUUCUUGUGAAUUGAAGAAUGAACAUACUCAAACGUUGCAUUUCUCAUAUGUUUUGAUAUAUAACAAGUAAUCCUUGUGUCAUAUAACUCUGUUGCUUUAAAAAUUUAGUUUUUGAAUUAAAUUUAUCCUAAAGCAGUCCACUGAAAAGCAUUGAUAGAAGAAAAUUUGAAGAGAAAGAAGAAUAAUGCAUUGAAAUGGGAUAAAGAAGAAGAAUACGAGUAAAACCCAAAAAAAAAUCAGGGGAAGAAUUGAUCAAACAUAAUGAAAAAAAAUAAGAAAAAUACGAAGAAGAAAAAAACUGAAAGAUAAAAAAAUAUGAAGAAGAACUGAACGAAGAAGGAGAAAACGAAGAAGAAGAUAAAUCAUAAGAGAAAGAAAAAGUAGAAAUCAAAGACGAUGAAGAAGAGAAAGAAAAGAUGGGGAAUAUGAAAACAGAAAUAUAAAUAAGAUGAAGAAGAAGAAAUUAAAGACAAUGGCGAUCAAAAAGAUUUUUUUUUAUAUAUAAUUUUUCUUAUUGUUUAUACGUAUUAUAAUUAUCCAAGGUUUUGGUUAUAACUGGUUAUUGGUUUUUGUUGUCUUACAGUGGGUAGGUGAUUCUUCUCUUUCCUUGUAUAUUUUGAAGGUGAUUAUCGUGUUAUCUCUACAUAGGUAUUAGAAUAUUGAUACUUACGAGCUACCUACACCGAUAUUGGAUGGUUGGAAGACAAUGAAGAAGAAUAAAGAAAAGAAGAUAAAGAAAAACAACCAAAAGAUAAAAAGAGGAGGAAAAAGAAGAAAACAAAUAUGAAAAUAAAAAAUUUGUGUUUGUCUUAAUUCAAUUGGUUUGUGGGUUUCAUACACUUAUUUAGUAUUAUAUUUUAUGUGUUUUAUUUGAUAGGUUUAUUUUAUUUUGAUUAUAUACGUCUCAAUUGUUUUAAUUUUCUUUAUUUACAUAAUAUAAAGUUUUUUUUAAUAAUUUUAAACCUCUCGGGAUCUGCGCAGACAAGAUACCUAAUUAUAUUAAUAAUUGAAUGCUGUUUGUUAAUUGAUAUAUUUUUUUACUUAGAAUUUUGAUUUUUUAUCAAAUUAUUCGUUAUGUAUGAUAUGACUAUAUGAGUUAGUUUAUUAGCAGAGAUAUUCUCAAAGUACCUAUCUUAUCUGUCAAAGAAUCCAAAUGAUUUCGUAUAAUACGCACUACGCCGAGACGUUUUUUUUUUGUUUGAUUAUUAUAUCGCCGCCAAGAUGGAACUAAAAUAUCACAGAUAAACAAUUGGAAGAUAUUAUUAUAAAAGAUAUCCAAAAAGGGUGAAAUUUGCAAAAAAGAAAAUUAAAAAUCUCCAGAGAUUACAACGAGAGAAAACUUAUAGAGAGAUGUCAGAAGCUUCCACACAAAUGACAAGAAAUGGUAAUUUCAUUGUCUCAACAAAUCUUAUUUCAUUUGAUCUAAUCAACUCUGAGAAUUCUAACUUUUUAUUCAACCAACAGAAGAAUCAGAGCAAGUUCAGAAUCCAGAACCAGACCAAAUCUUGAGCCAAAGAAGAUCGUUGGUGAUAAAUCAAAGAAGAUGCUGGAUCUUUGUUUCGUUAUGUCUUUUCUUAGUCUUCCUCGGAGAUUCUCUCGUCAUGCUUCUCUUGAACUUCUUCUAUGUUCAAGACAAUCGAGAAGAUAGUAACCAAGAUCUACAAUAUAAAGGAACAUGGACUCAAGCUCUGAUCCAAAACGCUGCGUUUCCAAUCCUUAUACCUCUCUUCUUCAUUUUUCCUUUACCAAAAUCAAACCCUGAAACCAACAAUAUUCGUUUUCUCUCUUUUCGUCUUCUCUUUCUUUACUUCGCUCUUGGUGUUCUUGUUGCUGCUCAUAGCAAAUUAUUCGCACUUGGGAAGCUAUACGCAAACUUUGGCAUAUUCACGUUGAUUUCCGCCACUCAAUUGAUAUUUACGGCUAUUUUCACAGCCAUCAUAAACCGUUUCAAGUUUAAUAGAUGGAUCAUUAUAUCGAUAAUCCUAACUCUUAUAAUAUACGUUUUUGGUAGUCCUGAAUUUGUAGGACAGCCUGAUGAAAACGAAGAAUUCUACAGCAUUCAAGCCUGGUUAACCUUCUCUGCUUCGGUAGCCUUCUCAUUAUCUCUCUGUUUAUUCCAACUCGGUUUCGAGAAACUUAUGGUGAAGACAAAGAGAUAUGGUAAUAAGAAAGUGUUUAGAAUGGUCUUAGAGAUGCAAAUAUGUGUCUCUUUUGUGGCCUCGGUUAUUUGCCUCAUUGGUUUGUUUGCGAGUGGCGAGUUCAAGGAGUUGAAAGGUGAAAGCGAGAGGUUUAAGAAAGGGAAAACAUAUUAUGUUUUGAGUUUGGUCGGGUUGGCUUUGUCGUGGCAGGUUUGGGCGGUCGGGCUAAUAGGUUUGGUACUUUAUGUUUCGGGCGUGUUUGGUGAUGUUGUACAUAUGUGUACUUCACCACUAGUGGCUUUGGUUGUUGUGUCGGCAUUUAAUUUUAUGGAUGAUGAUUUUAGUUGGCUUAGAAUAGGUGCUUUGAUAGGAACAGGUUUGGCUUUAGGAUCGUACUUCUACUCUCUGCACAAGAAAAACAAGAAGGAGAGGAAUGAACUUAAUCAAAGAGAGAACAAUGUUGAAGUUUAGUCUCUCAUGUCAAAUGUAUGUGGUGUCUUUUUUCAAAAUAUUUUCCUGUUCGGCUAAUUAAUCGUGUAAGUUAAUGUCCAAAUAUGUUGUAUCGAUCUGAAAGCUGUGUAAUUUAUUUGUUAAUUGUUUUAGUUGGAUUUCUUUGUUUCGUAUAUUACUAUUUUACAAUGCUUUGUUUAAGACUACAAUAUUGUGUACUAAAAAACUACAAUAUGUUAACACUCUUGAUCUAAACUCCAAACAUAUUCUAUAUAUUUCUUUAUUUUGAACAAGAUCUAUAAUGUUUGUGCUUUUAAAAUUCAAGAUUUUACUUUCUUACAAGUUUGUACAGAAAUUAUUUUAGUCCACUGAUCAGAAAGAUUAAGUAGGUGGAUUAGCUGACAACUUUAUCUAUAACCAUUAGUAAGAUGUAUGUAAUAUAAAAUUCAUUAAUCAAAAUUGAUAGUCUAAUUUAAAUAAAUAAAAAUUUAUAACCAAAUUAUGCAUAUAUAUAUUCUAAUCCGUGUUAAUAUAUAUAAAUACGUAUAUAAUAUCAUGUUCUAUUCAAUCCACAAUCUAUGUUGUGAAAUUCGGAAAUGGGGUGAACGUUUUGAAGAAGCACAAUUUCGCUAUGUAUCUCGUCAAUGUAAUGAGCCUGCUCAUCUUUUGGCCACAUCUCUUUCUAGUGAUACUUUGUUCUAUUCAAGUUGUAUAAAACCACCUCUGUGGUUAUCAUCUUCCCUUUAUAAGAACUAUGUAAACUCUUCUAUUUCUACUUAAUAUAAUUUCUUGUUUCGUCGAAAAAAAAAAUGUAUAUAAUAUCAUAUCACUUUCACAACUAAAAUUUUAUUUAUAUGUUAACCUGCACAAUAAAACUAACUCAAAUUUUUUAUGACGAUUAUAUAUAUAUAUACAUAAAUUUUGGGUGUAUGAUGUCAAUAUAUAAAUAGUUGCUAAAUAAUUUUAACUCAGCCAAAAGUUUAUUUUAAAAAAAAAUUCGUAAAGAAUCUAAAAAAAUAAUAAAUUAUAAUAAGAUUAGAAAAUAGAAAGUAGAAGUAUUAUUGUUAUCAAAAGAGGUUAUUGGGAAGAAGAUUUAUGUAAAAUUUGUGGAUUUAAAAAAUCUAGAGAUUUUAAGAAUCUCAAAGAUUUCUGUGGAUUAUAAAAAUUUACCAAUAUUUUUAGUGAUUUUGUAAUAACUUUUGUAGAUUGUCGUAGAUUUUCAAUGCAAACAAUAAACAAAUUAAUUUUAAAGAAAGUGAAACAAAUUGAAUCACAACAACUAGAGAGUUUACUAAUAAUUAGAGAGACAUAAUAACUUCUAAUAUGUGGCAAGAUGCAAUAUCAACUGGAAGUCAAUGAUGAUGAUGAAGUAUAUCAGUUUCUUGAUUUUGAGACACAUGUGCUUGUAGCUGAUAGAAUUGAAAUAUGUGUGUUAUGCAGGUCUUUUGAUGGAUAAAUUGCUUGUUAUCUCAUGGAAAAGAUAAAGCUAUAGACAAAUUUUUGGAAUUUUGUAACAUCUCUAUCCCGAAUUCUCUAAAAAGACCGAAAAAUCGGGUAUGUUUUGUUGGUAGUCAAACCUCAUUCGGUAAAGCAUCAGGUUUUCUCAUGGAUUUGAUAGCCGGCCCGUCUGGUUUUCGGAAGGGAAGAAGGAGCGGAAUCUCACAUUUUUAUUUAUAUGUUGCUGAGAUUUUGUCUUGUUAAACAUGUUGUUGUGGUAUUGUUUAUUAUGGAUUUGUUUUUGGUUUGUUUUUUUGGGAUAACUGAUGGUGAUGAAUAGAUAAUAUAUAUUGGAGAAAGAUUUUAAGAAUACACAGGGUACCUCUAGAAUAUUGAAAGUCAUUGCUAAUGACUAAAAAUAUAAAGAAUCAUUGUUUUAAUAACACUAUAGUUUAAUAGAAUUGAAAAAUCAAUAAAUACUUAACUCUUUUAAUAACACAAAUUUUUUAAAAAAUUUAUAUAAUCAACACACCAAUAACAUAAGAUUUCCAAAAUCAUUAUACCAAUAACAGAAGAUUUUAAUAAAAAUAUAAUAAUCUACAAACUAAUAACAAUAUAAUUUUAAACUCUAAAAAUUUUUAAAAAUUUAUCUUCCAAUAACAUCCACCAAGUAUCUAAGAUAUUGGGCCUAAUUGGGCUAAUCGAACCAGAGGUUCUUGGCCGUGGUAUGCGUAAGAAAACACAAUCUGUGAGGCUCGCUGAUCAUGUUCUCACUCUCCUACAUAACCUUUAUCCUACCGCGACACCAUAUCCUAUAGAUAACUACUUGUCUAGUGCCCAAUUUUUGGAUUCAUACCAGUCCUUCAUCUACGCCAUAACUGCAGGUUCAGAACCGAAAAGUUACAAAGUUGCAUUUGAAGAUGAGAAGUGGCGUUUUGCUGCCGAGGAUGAAAUGGUUGCAUUAGAGGAACUUGGAACCUGGACUAUCGAAGAUUUGCCUCCAGGGAAAAAGGCUCUCGGUUGUAAGUGGAUUUUUAAGUUGAAAUUCAACUCAGAUGGUACACUUGAGCGGCAUAAAGCCAGGCUUGUAGUCCUCGGAAACAACCAAACAGAGGGUGUCGAUUACAACGAAAUAUUUGCUCAUGUAGCAAAGAUGGUUACAGUUCGAACGUUUCUUCAACAAGUUGCGUCAAAUGAUUGGGAAGUGCAUCAGAUGGAUGUUCAUAAGGCCUUCCUUCAUGGCGAUUUAGACGAAGAAUUUUAUAUGAAAUUUCCACCUGGUUUUCAGUCCAAUGAACCCAAAAAAGUUUGUUGUCUUCACAAGGCUCUUUACGGUUUGAAGCAAGCUCCCAGAUGCUGGUUUGUGAAGCUUGCUACAGCUCUCAAGGAGUACGGUUAUGAGCAAAAUGGAUCGGAAUAUUCUUUGUUCAUUUAUGAAAAUGAGGAUAUUCUUCUUCACGUACUUGUGUACGUCGAUGAUCUCAUCAUCACGGGUAACUCUGCUUCUCUUGUUUCGGUUUUCAAGGAAUAUCUCAGUGACUGUUUUUGCAUGAAAGAUUUAGGACUUCUUCGGUAUUUCUUGGGUAUCGAAGUAGCUCACAGCUCGGAAGGAAUCUAUCUCUGUCAACGCAAAUACACGCUUGAUAUUCUCACAGAGACUGGCUUACUUGGCUCCAAACUGGUUGUGUUUCCAUUGGAACAGAACCAUAAACUGGCGUUGGCUAAAGGUGCUUCCAUGACUGAACUGUAUCUUUAUCGACGCUUGGUUGGAAAGCUCAUUUAUUUGGGAGUUACAAGACCGGAAUUGUCUUAUGUCAUUCAUGUUCUUUCAUAGUUCAUGUAUGCUCCUAAACAGGCUCAUUGGGAUACAGUUCUUCGCGUCGUCAAGUAUCUCAAAAACAGUCCAGGACAGGGGAUUCUUCUUCGUGCAAACACACCGUUAACAUUGACGGCUUGGUGCGACUCGGACUGGGCAUCUUGUCCGCUCACUCGUCGCUCACUCACAGGAUGGUUUAUACAACUUGGGGGUUCACCAUUGUCUUGGAAGACUCGCAAACAUGAUGUUGUCUCUCGCUCCUCGGCUGAAGCCGAAUAUCGAGCUAUGGCGGAUACAGUGUCUGAGAUACUUUGGUUACGUGAACUACUUCCUACUCUAGGUAUGGACUGCUCGGCUCCAACGAUGUUGUAUUCUGAUAGUCUUUCUGCGAUCAAGCUUGCUAAGAAUCUUGUGUAUCAUGCUCGCACAAAGCAUGUUGAACUUGAUUGUCACUUUAUUCGCGAUGAGAUUAUAUGAGAUACGAUCUCCCCUGGCACAUGUGUCUACUACUUCCCAAUUGGCUGAUAUUAUGACAAAAAUUUUAGGAAGAAAAGAGUUUGAAGCAUUUCUUUGCAAGCUGGGUGUUCGUAACCUCCACACGCCACCUUAAAGGGGGAGAGGGGGUAUUAGGCCUAAUUGGGCUUACAUAAUUAGGCUUAGGUUUUUGUAUGUACAUCACACAUACUUGUAUAAAAGGCAUUGCCUCAACAAUUUGAUCAAUAAGAAAUCUCUUUACCACAUUCACGAUUUCUUGACAUAAGACUUCGAUUGAUCUGCUACCGGGCUUUUGUCUGAAACAUAUCCAUGUAAGCGUGUUCGACGUGGCUUUUGGACCGACUGUUUGAUAAGGAACAAGAGGCCGUAGAUAAUUCAUACUACACAAGUCUUGCCGUCGACUCUUUAUAAGGUAGGAACGAGCCGUCUAAAGUUACUAUUUCGUUUAAAAGUCUUCUUCAAUCUUCGUAGUCCUAAUUUAGUAGUUUACUGGGUUAUUAGAUAUCAGUUACAGCCUAACUAUUUUGUUUUGUUGCUUUUCUUUCUUUUAUUUCAUAGUCCUAAUUUAGUAGUUUACAGCCUAACUAUUUUGUUUUUUUCUUUUGUUUUUUCUUAAUUCUUACAAAAUAUAAAAGAUCAUGUGGUUAAAGAAAGUGUUAAUUUAUAUAUCUAUACCAAAAAAUGUGGUGUUCGAAUUUUUCCAGAUUAAUGAAAGUAAACUUACAAUAAAUAUUCGACAUAGUGCAAUGGUGCAAAUAAAGUUAUUCGUUGUAAUUCUAAUCUGUUAAUUUUUGUGAAACAGAUAACUUAUGAGUUAAAAAAUUGUUCUACUAAUUGAUUUUUUUUUUAAUUUAUAAUAUAAUACGGCAAAAAAGAAAUUCAUACAAAACUAAAAAAAAAAAAAGAUGAUGGAAGUUUACAAAAAGAAAAAAGAUGUAAGAUUUCAAAGCCAAAUAAAUAAAACGUUUGCUAAAUAUCAAUUGUUACUUUGAUAAUGACCUCAGUAAUCAUUAGUAUACAUGUAUUUAUGCCAUGUUUUGGGUCUAUUAAAAAACUUGAUGGAUAGAUUACUUGACGGCUAUAUUUACGCUAAUUUUUUUAUCAUGUAUCAUUCUAGAAACUUUUGAUUAAAUUUUUAAAGCUUGACUAGAUUUUGCGUCCACGCUAUGCGAGGGUAUUUUGUUAAUAAAAAUUAUAUGCAAUCAAUUAUAUUUAUUAAGAUAUAAAUUUUAUAUAUUAGUGAUUUAAUAAUAUAUUAAAAAUAUUAUAAUGUUAAUAUAAUAAUUUUUAUGUAAAUUUUGAGGUUUUAACGGUUUUGUUUUAAAUCUAUAUACAAUAUGUCAUAUUUUAAAAAUGUAUUAUUUGGUCAAACAUUUAUAAGUUAAUAUACCCAAAUCAACUAAAUUUUUUUAUAAAUUAGUCAAAUGGUACUUACUAAACAUAAUAUUGACAUGAUGAUAAAAUAUUAUACGUUCACUUCUUUAAAUCAUGAAGAUAAUUUUUUUCAUGGUUCACUUUUCUUCCAAUUAUAUAUGUAUUUUUUAAAAACAAUAAUAAAUUUAAAAAUUAAUCUUUUUUUUUUCUCUUGUUUAACCGAUACAAAUUUUUUUAUUUUGUUAUAUUAAUUUAAAAAACAAACUAAUAAAUAAAAUAUUUGCUUUUAGAUUAAUAACAACUUUAAAUUUGAAACCAAAAUAUUAUUUGAAUAUAAAAUAAAGAAAAUCAUACAAAAUUUGUGAAUUAAAUAUAUUUUUAUCAAUUGGUUGUGUAAACGUUUAAAUAAUUUUUCAAUGAUUAUACGUCAUUGAUUCUAAUAAGAAUGAUUUUUUUUCAUCAUGUUUAUUUUUGUUAUAUCUGUUUUUUCAACUAAUAGAUCAUAUUUAUUUAUUUAAAUGAUUUUUAUAUGAUUAUAUUCAGUUUCAUCAUAUUCAAUCUUACUUCUUUUAAUUAUAUUUAAGUAGGCAGUCGGUACAAUUUAAUACAUAUAAAUUUAAAAAAAAUAAAAUAACAAAUUGAAAUCCUCAAAACUAAAAACUUCUACAUUAAUCUAUUGCAAUUCCAAACCGAAUAUACAAAAUAUAAAUUUUUCGAUCAUUUUUGCAUAAUAUAUUAAAUGAGAUUAUGUGGAAAUAUGUUUUGCAUAUGUGAAAAAAUUAAUAUAAAUUAUAAUUAUUAGUUAUUUAAAAUUCUAAAUGAAAAGUCUUAAAAUCAAGUAACAUAAACUUGUAUAAGUAAUAUAUAGUUUUAUAGAUAAUAAAUUAAAUUUAUAAUUUAAACAGUAAUAAUGAAGAUUUUAAUAUCAUGGUUUUUUAUUAUUAGAGAUUUUUUAUUCUUUAAUUUACUUUCUCAAUAGAAUUAGGAAAUUUUUUUAAAUUUACAAUUUUGAUAUAUACGAAUAAAUUUUAAUUUUUAAAUGCUGAUGUGGAUGCCUUGAAAAUAACAUAACUUUAAUUUUUAUUCAUAAUAGAAUAGUUUUAAUUAAUAAUUUUUCUAUAUUGUUUAGUAUUAACAAUGUAAUUUUAUAAUUUAGAUUUCUUUUUUUAAUGUUAGUUAUUGAUGUACACUAAUAAAAUUGACCUUUUAAAUCUUAUGUGGAUGUCUUUAGAGGCAUAUAGCUUAUAUAUUUAUUUUUCUAUAAACAUAUUUUUUGUUAACCAUAUAAUUUUAAAUUUUGAAAAUUUUUUCUAAUUUUAAAUAUUGAUGUAAACCAAUCAAAUUGAACAUUUACAUCAUAUGUGGACAUUCUUAGAGGCAUAUAGCUUUUAAUUUUUUUUUAAUAAUAGAUUUAGAAAUCAAAGUUGGAAGAUCCCACACGAGGCAAGUGAUUAUGGUCUCUCCUUGUUUUUUGGCUUACCGAAUGUAUUCGCAUGCUGCUUGGUCAACUAAUUGUUACUUUUUUGGUUAAUGUUAGGUUGUUAAAACCCCAUCAGAUGUUAUGUUAUUUCAAAAAUCUUCGGCUUAAUGACAGAACUUCUUUCUCUAUUUUCAGUGCUUCGUUUUUCAAAAGUGUCAUGAUUUUGGUCUCGCCUCCUUGUUUUUGAGGCUUACCUAAUAUAUUUGGAUGCUUCUUGGUCAGCUAAUUGUUACUUUUGUGCUUAAUGUUAGGUUGUUGAAAUCGUAUCAGAUGCCAUGUUAUUUCAAAAAUCUUCCUCAAAUAACUUAAUCUCCUUCGUCUUAAUGACGAAACAUCUUUCUCUAUUUUUAGUGCUUUGUUUUUUAAAAGUGUCGAGUAUCAAUCACUUGACAUGUUUCUCGGAUUGCUUGAAAUUUAUCAUUCUUCUCAAAUUUGGUGGCCAAACUUAUUUUUCGGUCUCUUUUUCGAUAUUAAAGCAGUUUGUAAAGACUUUGUUUAUAUCUCGUUUCAUUAUAUUCUUUAUAAUUUAGCUAAUAGCUAAACUUAUAGUUUAGCCAAGUUGGUUAUUUUACGUUGUAAUGACUCAUUUUUUUGUGAAACCUAACUCUAUUUUUUUUUUUUAAUUUGAAAUGGUUGUACACACAAAAAAAAAACUUAAAAAAUUAUUAUAGUUAUGUGACAAAAAUUUGGAUACUAAUGUAAGAAUCUCUAAAUAUGUGUGUAUACAUCUAAUUUAAAUUUAAAAUUUUCUAUUUUAAUAUUAUUUAUUUUAGUUUUUUAUUAUUAACAAAAAAUUUAUAUAUAAUUACUUUAUCUUUAAUAAUUUUUAAAAAUAAUAAUGGAAUUUGAAAAAAAAAAGUAAUUUUCAAUGUUGAGAUGGACCAAUAAAAAAUUUAUAUAGAAUUUUUUUAAUCAACAAUAAUCAGAAUUUGUAAACUUUCUUAAUUUAUUUAUUUAGCAACAAUAUUAAAAAUUUGUAAACUUUUCUUAUUUUUGAUUGUUGAUGUGGACCAAUAGAAUUGCCAUUUUUAAUCAUAUGCAUUUAACUUCAACUUUUAUUAGUAUAAGAUAAGAUAUGCAAUUACGUUCUAUAAAAAAUAAGUUUAUUGGCCAAAUUAAUAAAAUUGAAUGAAAAUUUUUAAUAUUUUUAAGGUUUCAUCCAUAUUCUAACAUCUUUUCGCAUUUUGAUUCAAAUAUAGAGAUAUUUUCGAAGUACCAAUCUUGUCUCAGGAUCUUAUCGUAUUAUCUAUCUGGAUUUUUAAUUACUGAAAAUAGUUAUAUUGUCUCAGGAUCUUAUCGUAUUAUCUGGAUUUUUAAUUACUGAAAAUAGUUAUAUCGCCGCCAAGAUGGAACUAGUCAUUGUUUAACGCACCUGUCCUCAACUAUUCUCAUAAUAUCUUCUUUCUUUUUUGUCGGAACUAUUCUCAUAAUAUCUAAGAGAAACAAUUGAAAAUAUUAUAUAAGAUAUCCACAUAGAAUGAAAUUUUACAUAUUUUAAUUAAAUCUUCAGAGUUAAGACCAGAAGUCAGAAGCUUCCAAACAGAUGACAAGAAAUGGUAAUUUCACUGUCUCAACUCAUUUCUAUGAUAUUAUCUGAUAAACACUGAGAAUUCCAAUUUUUCUUUAACUAACAGAAGAAUCAGAACAAGUUCAGAAUCCAGAACCAGACCAGAGCUUGAGCCAAAGAAGAUUGUUGAUGCUAAAUCAAAGAAAAUGGUGGAUCUCUGUUUCUUUAUGUCUUUUCUUAGUCUUGCUCGGAGAUUCUCUCGUCAUGCUUCUCUUGAACUUCUUCUAUGUCCAAGACAAUCGAGAAGAUUAUGACCAAGAUCUACAGUACAAAGGAACAUGGACUCAAGCUCUGAUCCAAAACGCUGCGUUUCCAAUCCUUAUCCCUCUCUUCUUUAUAUUUCCUUCACCAAAACCAAACCCUGAAACCAACAAUACUCGUUUCCUCUCUUUUCGUCUUCUCAUGCUUUACUUCGCUCUUGGUGUUCUUGUUGCUGCUCAUAGCAAAUUAUUCGCGCUUGGGAAGUUAUACGCAAACUAUGCCAUAUUCACGUUGAUUUCCGCCUCCCAGUUGAUAUUUACCGUGAUUUUCACUGCCAUUAUAAACCGAUUCAAGUUUAACCGAUGGAUUAUCAUAUCUAUAAUCCUCACUCUUGUUGUAUACCUUUUCGGUAAUCCUGAAUUUGGAGGAGAGCCUGUUGAAGCCGAAGUAUCCUAUAGCAAGCAAGCUUGGUUAACCUUUGCUGCUGUAGUUGCUUUCGCAUUAUAUCUCUGUUUAUUCCAACUAGGUUUCGAGAAACUUUUGGUGAA
rnacentral:lncRNA from 1 species